GAUGUUGGGUUAAGUCCCGCAACGAGCGCAACCCUUAUCUUUAGUUGCCAGCAUUCAGUUGGGCACUCUAGAGAGACUGCCGUCGCCAAGACGGAGGAAGGCGGGGAUGACGUCAAAUCAUCAUGCCCCUUAUGACCUGGGCUACACACGNGCUACAAUGGUUGGUACAACGGGAUGCUACCUCGCGAGAGGACGCCAAUCUCUUAAAACCAAUCUCAGUUCGGAUUGUAGGCUGCAACUCGCCUACAUGAAGUCGGAAUCGCUAGUAAUCGCGGAUCAGCAUGCCGCGGUGAAUACGUUCCCGGGCCUUGUACACACCGCCCGUCACACCACGGGAGUUUGCAACACCCGAAGUCGGUGAGGUAACCG
rnacentral:rRNA from 1 species